rnacentral:tRNA from 1 species
GCCUGUAGCUCAGUUGGUAGAGCAACUGACUUUUAAUCAGUAGGUCUCCGGUUCGAGCCC